rnacentral:tRNA from 1 species
UUAACUAAAGCCAAAAGGAUAAAGAAGAGGCUUUCCUUUGUUAAAGGAAGAAAUGAUUAAUAGUCUAGUUAUG